rnacentral:rRNA from 1 species
AGUGAACGCUGGCGGUAGGCCUAACACAUGCAAGUCGAACGGCAGCACAGUAAGAGCUUGCUCUUACGGGUGGCGAGUGGCGGACGGGUGAGGAAUACAUCGGAAUCUACUUUUUCGUGGGGGAUAACGUAGGGAAACUUACGCUAAUACCGCAUACGACCUACGGGUGAAAGCAGGGGAACUUCGGACCUUGCGCGAUUGAAUGAGCCGAUGUAGGAUUAGCUAGUUGGCGGGGUAAAGGCCCACCAAGGCGACGAUCCGUAGCUGGUCUGAGAGGUUGAUCAGCCACACUGGAACUGAGACACGGUCCAGACUCCUACGGGAGGCAGCAGUGGGGAAUAUUGGACAAUGGGCGCAAGCCUGAUCCAGCCAUCCCGCGUGAGUGAAGAAGGCCUUCGGGUUGUAAAGCCCUUUUGUUGGGAAAGAAAAGCAGCAGGUUGAUACCCCGCUGUUCUGACGGUACCCAAAGAGUAAGCACCGGCUAACUUCGUG